GACGAACGCUGGCGGCGUGCUUAACACAUGCAAGUCGAACGAAGUGGCGAACGGGUGAGUAACGCGUAAUCAACCUGCCCUUCAGAGGGGGACAACAGUUGGAAACGACUGCUAAUACCGCAUACUGAAGGAGGGGAUUGCGUCUGAUUAGCUAGUUGGAGGGGUAACGGCCCACCAAGGCGAUGAUCAGUAGACGGUCUGAGAGGAUGAACGGCCACAGUGGGACUGAGACACGGCCCAGACGACGACGGGGGGCAGCAGUGGGGGAUAUUGCACAAGGGGCGAAAGCCUGAUGCAGCGACGACGCGGGGGGGAUGAAGGCUUUCGGGUUGUAAACCUCUUUCGCUAGCGAACGGGUAGGUGGAGAAGAAGCGCCGGCUAACUACGUGCCAGCAGCCGCGGUAAUAC
rnacentral:rRNA from 1 species